rnacentral:rRNA from 1 species
AGAGUUUGAUCCUGGCUCAGGAUGAACGCUGGCGGCGUGCUUAACACAUGCAAGUCGAGCGAAGCACCUAAGAAAGAUUCUUCGGAUGAAUUCUUUUGUGACUGAGCGGCGGACGGGUGAGUAACGCGUGGGUAACCUGCCUCAUACAGGGGGAUAACAGUUAGAAAUGACUGCUAAUACCGCAUAAGACCACGGUACCGCAUGGUACAGUGGUAAAAACUCCGGUGGUAUGAGAUGGACCCGCGUCUGAUUAGCUAGUUGGUGGGGUAACGGCCUACCAAGGCGACGAUCAGUAGCCGACCUGAGAGGGUGACCGGCCACAUUGGGACUGAGACACGGCCCAAACUCCUACGGGAGGCAGCAGUGGGGAAUAUUGCACAAUGGGGGAAACCCUGAUGCAGCGACGCCGCGUGAAGGAUGAAGUAUUUCGGUAUGUAAACUUCUAUCAGCAGGGAAGAAAAUGACGGUACCUGACUAAGAAGCCCCGGCUAACUACGUGCCAGCAGCCGCGGUAAUACGUAGGGGGCAAGCGUUAUCCGGAUUUACUGGGUGUAAAGGGAGCGUAGACGGCAUUGCAAGCCAGAUGUGAAAGCCCGGGGCUCAACCCCGGGACUGCAUUUGGAACUGUAGAGCUAGAGUGUCGGAGAGGCAAGUGGAAUUCCUAGUGUAGCGGUGAAAUGCGUAGAUAUUAGGAGGAACACCAGUGGCGAAGGCGGCUUGCUGGACGAUGACUGACGUUGAGGCUCGAAAGCGUGGGGAGCAAACAGGAUUAGAUACCCUGGUAGUCCACGCCGUAAACGAUGACUACUAGGUGUCGGGUAGCAAAGCUAUUCGGUGCCGCAGCAAACGCAAUAAGUAGUCCACCUGGGGAGUACGUUCGCAAGAAUGAAACUCAAAGGAAUUGACGG